GCUUGCUGUUAGCCACAAGACCUGAUUUGUAAUCAGGGGGUCACGAGUUCGAACCUUGUCGGGGGCACCA
rnacentral:tRNA from 1 species